rnacentral:rRNA from 1 species
UAGCGGAGGAAAAGAAACUAACAAGGAUUCCCCUAGUAGCGGCGAGCGAAGCGGGAAGAGCUCAAAUUUAUAAUCUGGCACCUUCGGUGUCCGAGUUGUAAUCUCUAGAAAUGUUUUCCGCGUUGGACCGCACACAAGUCUGUUGGAAUACAGCGGCAUAGUGGUGAGACCCCCGUAUAUGGUGCGGACGCCCAGCGCUUUGUGAUACAUUUUCGAAGAGUCGAGUUGUUUGGGAAUGCAGCUCAAAUUGGGUGGUAAAUUCCAUCUAAAGCUAAAUAUUGGCGAGAGACCGAUAGCGAACAAGUACCGUGAGGGAAAGAUGAAAAGCACUUUGGAAAGAGAGUUAACAGUACGUGAAAUUGUUGGAAGGGAAACGCUUGAAGUCAGACUUGCUUGCUGAGCAAUCGGUUUGCAGGCCAGCAUCAGUUUUCCGGGAUGGAUAAUGGUAGAGAGAAGGUAGCAGUUUCGGCUGUGUUAUAGCUCUCUGCUGGAUACAUCUUGGGGGACUGAGGAACGCAGUGUGCCUUUGGCGGGGGUUUCGACCUCUUCACACUUAGGAUGCUGGUGGAAUGGCUUUAAACGACCCGUCUUGAAACACGGACC